rnacentral:rRNA from 1 species
UGCAAGUCGAACGGUGAAGCCCAGCUUGCUGGGUGGAUCAGUGGCGAACGGGUGAGUAACACGUGAGCAACCUGCCCUCCACUUCGGGAUAAGCCUUGGAAACGGGGUCUAAUACCGGAUAUGAGCGCGCACCGCAUGGUGUGUGUUGGAAAGUUUUUCGGUGGGGGAUGGGCUCGCGGCCUAUCAGCUUGUUGGUGGGGUGAUGGCCUACCAAGGCGUCGACGGGUAGCCGGCCUGAGAGGGCGACCGGCCACACUGGGACUGAGACACGGCCCAGACUCCUACGGGAGGCAGCAGUGGGGAAUAUUGCACAAUGGGCGAAAGCCUGAUGCAGCGACGCCGCGUGAGGGAUGACGGCCUUCGGGUUGUAAACCUCUUUCAGCAGGGAAGAAGGCCUUCGGGUGGACGGUACCUGCAGAAGAAGCGCCGGCUAACUACGUGCCAGCAGCCGCGGUAAUACGUAGGGCGCAAGCGUUGUCCGGAAUUAUUGGGCGUAAAGAGCUCGUAGGCGGUUUGUCGCGUCUGGUGUGAAAACCUCAGGCUCAACCUGGGGCGUGCAUCGGGUACGGGCAGACUAGAGUGCGGUAGGGGAGACUGGAAUUCCUGGUGUAGCGGUGGAAUGCGCAGAUAUCAGGAGGAACACCGAUGGCGAAGGCAGGUCUCUGGGCCGCAACUGACGCUGAGGAGCGAAAGCAUGGGGAGCGAACAGGAUUAGAUACCCUGGUAGUCCAUGCCGUAAACGUUGGGCACUAGGUGUGGGGCUCAUUCCACGAGUUCCGUGCCGCAGCUAACGCAUUAAGUGCCCCGCCUGGGGAGUACGGCCGCAAGGCUAAAAACUCAAAGGAAUUGACGGGGGCCCGCACAAGCGGCGGAGCAUGCGG